GGGGAUGUGGCUCAAUGGUAGAGCGCUCGCCUGGCAUGCGUGAGGCACUGGGUUUGAUCCUCAGUACCA
rnacentral:tRNA from 1 species